rnacentral:rRNA from 1 species
ACGAACGCUGGCGGCGUGCUUAACACAUGCAAGUCGAACGGAAAGGCCCUGCUUUUGUGGGGUGCUCGAGUGGCGAACGGGUGAGUAACACGUGAGUAACCUGCCCUUGACUUUGGGAUAACUUCAGGAAACUGGGGCUAAUACCGGAUAGGAGCUCCUGCUGCAUGGUGGGGGUUGGAAAGUUUCGGCGGUUGGGGAUGGACUCGCGGCUUAUCAGCUUGUUGGUGGGGUAGUGGCUUACCAAGGCUUUGACGGGUAGCCGGCCUGAGAGGGUGACCGGCCACAUUGGGACUGAGAUACGGCCCAGACUCCUACGGGAGGCAGCAGUGGGGAAUAUUGCACAAUGGGCGGAAGCCUGAUGUAGCAACGCCGCGUGCGGGAUGACGGCCUUCGGGUUGUAAACCGCUUUCGCCUGUGACGAAGCGUGAGUGACGGUAAUGGGUAAAGAAGCACCGGCUAACUACGUG